UCUGGUGGCUGUUGCGAAGUGGAACCACCCGUUACCAUCUCGAACACGGAAGUGAAACGCCUCAGCGCUCACGAUACUGCAUUCGCGAGGAUGUGGGAAAAUAGGUCGCUGCCAGAG
rnacentral:rRNA from 2 species